CAGUCGCCACGGUAAUACGAAGGGUGCAAGCGUUAUCCGGAUUCACUGGGUUUAAAGGGUGCGUAGGCGGGCAGGUAAGUCAGUGGUGAAAUCUUCGAGCUUAACUCGGAAACUGCCGUUGAUACUAUCUGUCUUGAAUAACGUUGAGGUGAGCGGAAUAUGUCAUGUAGCGGUGAAAUGCUUAGAUAUGACAUAGAACACCGAUUGCGAAGGCAGCUCACUAAACGCUCAUUGACGCUGAGGCACGAAAGCGUGGGGAUCAAACAGGAUUAGAUACCCCAGUAGUCCCUGUCUCUUAUAA
rnacentral:rRNA from 1 species